AUACGGAGGGUGCAAGCGUUAUCCGGAUUCACUGGGUUUAAAGGGUGCGUAGGUGGAUUGGUAAGUCAGUGGUGAAAUCUCUGGGCUUAACUCAGAAACUGCCAUUGAUACUAUCAGUCUUGAAUACCGUGGAGGUCAGCGGAAUAUGUCAUGUAGCGGUGAAAUGCUUAGAUAUGACAUAGAACACCAAUUGCGAAGGCAGCUGGCUACACGAAUAUUGACACUGAGGCACGAAAGCGUGGGGAUCAAACA
rnacentral:rRNA from 1 species